UACGGAGGGUGCGAGCGUUGUCCGGAAUCACUGGGCGUAAAGAGCUCGUAGGCGGUUUGUCGCGUCGGCUGUGAAAACUCGGGGGCUCAACCCCCGAGCCUGCAGUCGAUACGGGCAGACUAGAGUGCUGUAGGGGAGACUGGAAUUCCUGGUGUAGCGGUGAAAUGCGCAGAUAUCAGGAGGAACACCGGUGGCGAAGGCGGGUCUCUGGGCAGUAACUGACGCUGAGGAGCGAAAGCGUGGGGAGCGAACAGG
rnacentral:rRNA from 1 species